AGUCUGGUGCCAGCAGCCGCGGUAAUUCCAGCUCUAAUAGCGUAUAUUAAAGUUGUUGCAGUUAAAAAGCUCGUAGUUGGAUUUCGGCGUGCGCUCAGGCUGGUCGGCCGUCAAGGUCUGUACCGUUUGGGUCACGCCCCACUGUAGGAUACUCACCGCUGUCCUUAACUGGGUGGCGGUCAAAGGGGGUGUGCAUGGGGGCAACUCUGUGCAUAUCUCUGGGGUUCCUACUCUUUUACUUUGAGCAAAUUAGAGUGUUCAAAGCAGGCAAUCGAGCCUUGAAUACUUCAGCAUGGGAUAAUGGAACAGGACUGGGGUCCUGAUUUCGUUGGUUUCUGGGAUCUCAGUAAUGAUUAAUAGGGAUAGUUGGGGGCAUUAGUAUUUAAUUGUCAGAGGUGAAAUUCUUGGAUUUAUGAAAGACUAACUUCUGCGAAAGCAUUUGCCAAGGAUGUUUUCAUUAAUCAAGAACGAAAGUUAGGGGAUCGAAGACGAUCAGAUACCGUCGUAGUCUUAACCAUAAACGAUGCCGACCAGCGAUUGGGAGACGUUACAUGGAUGACUCCCCCAGCAGCUUGCGAGAAAUCACAAGUCUUUGGGUUCCGGGGGGAGUAUGGUCGCAAGGCUGAAACUUAAAGGAAUUGACGGAAGGGCACCACCAGGAGUGGAGCCUGCGGCUUAAUUUGACUCAACACGGGGAAACUUACCAGGUCCAGACAUAGUAAGGAUUGACAGAUUUGAGAGCUCUUUCUUGAUUCUAUGGGUGGUGGUGCAUGGCCGUUCUUAGUUGGUGGAGUGACUUGUCUGGUUAAUUCCGUUAACGAACGAGACCUUAACCUGCUAAAUAUGUCACUGGUAGACUUCUGCCAAAACAGGUGGGUGUCUAGGGGAAAGUUUCGAUGGACUCCGACGCAUUCAUCUGUGGAUGACUACCAGGAUGUACUUCUUUGAGGGACUAUCUGUAUCAAAGCAGAUGGAAGUUUGAGGCAAUAACAGGUCUGUGAUGCCCUUAGAUGUUCUGGGCCGCACGCGCGCUACACUGACAAGUUCAACGAGUUUAACACCUUGCUCGAUAGGGCUGGGUAAUCUUUGAAAAACUUGUCGUGAUGGGGAUAGAUCAUUGUAAUUAUUGGUCUUCAACGAGGAAUUCCUAGUAAGCGUGAGUCAUCAGCUCGCGUUGAUUACGUCCCUGCCCUUUGUACACACCGCCCGUCGCUCCUACCGAUUGAAUGAUCCGGUGAAAUGUUGGGAGCUGGGGUCUUUUGGCGGCGGGGCAACUCGUCGUCAGGGAUUCUGCAAACUUCAUUAAACCUUAUCAUUUAGA
rnacentral:rRNA from 1 species